UACAGAGGGGGCAAGCGUUGUUCGGAAUUACUGGGCGUAAAGAGCGCGCAGGCGGCUGGUCAAGUCCGAUGUGAAAUCUCCCGGCUCAACUGGGAAACUGCAUCGGAAACUGAUCGGCUUGAAGAUGGGAGAGGGUAGUGGAAUUCCCGGUGUAGUGGUGAAAUGCGUAGAUAUCGGGAGGAACACCAGUGGCGAAGGGCGACUACCUGGCCCAUUCUUGACGCUGAGGCGCGAAAGCUAGGGGAGCGA
rnacentral:rRNA from 1 species